AUUGAACGCUGGCGGCAUGCUUUACACAUGCAAGUCGAACGGCAGCGUGGGCUUUGGUCUGGCGGCGAGUGGCGAACGGGUGAGUAAUACAUCGGAACGCGCCCAGUCGUGGGGGAUAGCUCGGCGAAAGCCGGAUUAAUACCGCAUACGAACUGAGGGUGCAAGCGGGGGAUCUUCGGUCCUCGCGCCAUUGUAGCGGCCGAAGGCAGAUUAGCUAGUUGGUGGGGUAAAGGCCUACCAAGGCUACGAUCUGUAGCUGGUCUGAGAGGACGACCAGCCACACUGGGACUGAGACACGGCCCAGACUCCUACGGGAGGCAGCAGUGGGGAAUUUUGGACGAUGGGCGAAAGCCUGAUCCAGCAAUGCCGCGUGUAUGAUGAAGGCCUUCGGGUUGUAAAGCACUUUUGGCGGGAACGAAAAGGACUGUGCCAAUACCACAGUUCGAUGACGGUACCCGCAGAAUAAGCACCGGCUAACUACGUG
rnacentral:rRNA from 1 species